UCAAUGGAGACCAGAGUGCCUGGGGCUCAUGGGAAGCUGCUCAUGGGGUUCUUGGGGCUCUGUCCCUGGCUGUCACCUGUGCUGAGGGCUGGUCUGGGGUGGGGACCAGGCUUUGGGGGUGAGAACUUGCGCCUCCUUGUUGCUUCCACCCCAGGCCCUUCCCACGGAGCUCACCUGUUGGAGAGGGUUUCCUCUGCCAGGCAUUUUGUCAGGAAACUGUGAGGUAGGGCGCGUCACUCACUGCUGUAUCGACGUUGAACAGGUGCAGGAAGAUGCCUUGGCUGUUUGAGGUCCUGAUGGUAACUUCCAUCCCCUGAUCCAUCCUCAGAGGCCCGGGGCUGGGAGCCCCCACCGCUCAGCUCCACGCACUCCAGGCGUUCCCAUUGGCGGGGUCUGGUCUGUGCCCAUGGGUCCCUUGUCAUGCUCAUCCUGGAUUAUAUUCAUAGGUGGAUGAUUCAUGGGGAGUGUGACCGGGAAUCAUGAAAGGGAGGAGCAGGGAGGGCAAGAUAAAGGGGAGCGGGCUGGGAAGGGGGUGACUCCAGGCACAGCCGCAAGUCCCUGGGAUUUUCAGGGGGAGCUUGGGCUCACAGUGGCCUCUAGUUUGUCCUGGCCCAAAGCAGGGACCUGGGCUAUGUCCUGACCUGGUAAGUCUUAGGUUCAGGGCUGUCUGUGGGAGGGAACUUCUCGGGCCUUUGGGUCUCUGUGCGUCGGGGUGGCUCCGGUGGCCCAGGACGCCCUGGAGAAGAGUCCUGGUGGAAGCCAAAAUGCAGGGUGGCGGCUGGUGAGGCACAGGAGCGGGCGGAGGCUCUGAGCACAGGUCUCGGCCACAACCACACGCUGCUGAUGGUGGGAGGACUUGGGGAGUUUCCCCUGGGAAUGAGAGGUUUCCCAGUAGCCAUGCUGCAGUGCCCGCUGUGUCUGUGGGUGCUCAUGGUCACUCGCAUUUUCCCUGUGGCUCCCGGCUACUUUAUCCAGCAAGCAGCCCGCUCUCGGGAGAAGCUGGGCCUGGACGUCCCAGGCGGAGGCAGCUCCCUUCCUCCCACAAAGGGCACACCGUCCUUGUCCUCGCUGACUCCCAGAGGUCCAGGGACGUCUGGGGGUGGGGGCCUCCUUGACCCCUGCGUGUGGGCAACAGGUGACUGGGGCGUGGUUAACUCUGUGUGUGUCCAAUUGGGUGCUUGGCAAACACAGAGAGUUUUGUCCAAGGCCACCUCGUCCCCACUUGUCCAGGUCGGGAGGGGCCCUGCCUCGUGUGGCCUGAGCUGAGUGAGCACCUCCAGCCUGAGCAGACGGCCCUGGCUCCCCCAGGACACGUCACCUGGAGAGGUGGCCCUCUCAGGCUCCGUCCUCCUUCCCUGCAGUGGCCCCAGCCUCCCCGCCAAGCUUCCUGGCCCCCGCCCCAUCCUGGGCCGGCUGCCGCGGAGACCGUGGGCCGGCGCUGGACGGCGCGGCCUCCAGAAGUGAUAGCUAAUUGGGGAGAGAAAGGGCCCAAUUGUCUGGUGGGGCCGGAAGAGCCGCGUGGGCUGCUGAAAGCGCCGGGAGGAGGUGGCCGCUUCGCCCAGCAGCUGCCGCCGGGGAUGUUUGCAGAUUACGUCAGUGCUGGCGAGCAGGGGGCGAGGGGACAGCGAGGGGGGCGGGCUCCCGGCGGCCUCCCGCCCCCCAGGCCCUUGGACAAUGCUGUCAUUGUCGGCACAGAGAGUGGUUAAUUCUGGAUGAAUGGUACACGGGCCUCUUGACCAAGGAGGCCGCUCGCCGCCCCCGUCUGUCCCCUCACAUGCCAGGGAGGCCCCGGGCUGGAGUCUGGCGGGCAGGGCUGGCCUGCUUGGUGGCACCGGAGAGAAGCGGGUGGUCCCUUGGGGGCACCGGCUGCAGAGGCCCCCGGCUGGACGGAGCUUCCUGACCUGGGGCUGCACGGCGGCCACUUGGCAGCGCCGGGGCCCCACCUCAUCUUGGUUCGAGGACAGAGGCCUCUGCUGCUCCGUGGGGCCAACCUUGGGCAUGACCUCCUGGCCAGGUGGCAGCUCGGGCCCCGACCUGCUCCUGGCCCUGCUGGUGGUGAUCCUGCUAGCACGCCUCAUCCUGUGGUCCUGCCUUGGGACCUACAUCGACCACAGACUGGCCCAGCGGCAGCCCCGGAGACCCAAGCAGGACUAGGCCUUGGCAAGCUGUGGCCUCCACGUGCCCUGCACUCAGCAGACCCUUCCGGUGGUGGUGGGAGGGAGGGGAGCAGGGCAGGCUCAUGAUCCCCACGUCCCAACCCCGGGGCGGGAGCUCAGUGAGGCCUGAGAUGGACCGUGCCUGCCCAGACCGACCAGGGCUGUCCCAUAGAGGCAACCAGCCACGUGAUGAGAUGGAAGAGCUGGCCUUGUGGGUCCCUUAGCAGGUUCUGGGGUCCCCGGUUGCAGGGGGUGGUCCUGGGGGUGGGUCUUGCUUUAAGAUCUUCUCUACCUCCAAUUUCUUAUAAGUAUGCCUGCAGGAGUUGCUGGGUGAGCCAGGGGACUCAGAUGGAGGGGCCACAGACAAAGAUGAAAGUGGAGAGCCAAAGCCAGCCCUGCGGCCCAAGGCCACGUCCUGCCUCAGCUCACCACCAUCAUGACCACUCUCCUCCUGCCUCCUGAGGGACAAGACAAGUGCGGGUGGCUGUGAUGGUUUCCCCAGGGCGGACCCCUGGGAGGGUCUCGAGACACACGCGUGAGGCUGAGUUCAAGUCUGGCUCUGGUUGACCCUCUGCACACUCUCCAACAGUCCAAAGCUCAGUGAGGGCACAAUGAUCCCUGCCUCCCUCCCUCAGCAGGACAUCACGUGUGGGACGCUUUAGGGGACAAGCCUGGGGACCGGCCAAUGCCCUCUGUUCAUCUGUCCUUGCACAUGUGUGGAUGGGAGGUACCAGGAAGGCCGACGGGGCGUGGAAGUUGAUUUGAGGCCAAGCACCCGUGCCCCUGCCCCCACUCCCCAACACAUUAGCUGUGAUGCGAGCCACUUAACCCACAGCUUGUGGAAGCCCCGUGGUUCUCAUGCCGGCUCCACAUUACAGCCUCCGGCGGGGAGUUCGGCAAACACCCACGUCCAGGCUCCAUGAUGUAUUUCCUGGGAUUGUUCCAGCAGAUUCUGGAUUGCGGCAAGGGCUGCUGACUUUGCAUGGAACAGUGAGAUGGAAAGGACCACGAUCGGCAGCCCCAGGGAGGAGCAUUGAACCAGAUACCGUUCCUGCAAGGAGGGACCUGGUGAUGCGGCUGCGUCUUGCUCCUUGCUUGGUGACGGGCAUGGUGGGGACGCUCCCUCUGGGAACGUGGGCCAAGUCUUCUGAGCACGAAGCUCACAGAGGGGGUGAUUCCUGUGAAUUCUGAAAGGACUUGGGAGCGUCCAGCAAGAGCAGGAGCUUAGGUUGUCAUUCCAGGGCUGGUGUUGCUGACUGGGGUGAAUGGCCCCCCCGGGGUGGGCAUGGAGCGGGCCGCUGGCUGGGAGCCCCUGCCUUGCUGUAUCCUGGCUGAAUGACCCCAGGGGAGGGCCAGAAACGCCCUUAUCGCUGUUUCUGUGGCACCUGAUACACUCACCUACGCCAAGAAAAUUUUUUUUUUGGCUUCCGCAGGACCCGCUGUGUGCAGAUCCUCUGUUCAAGAGAGCUGCAGAGAUGGGGGUGCUGGCGAGCAGGAGCUAAGACUGGCUGGGGUGGGACCGACCAAGAGUUUGAGGGUGGGGUGGUGUCCAGGGGGCCAUGUGAGGAUGACCUAUCGCAGAGGCUCCCUUCUCAUUCAUACCCUGAAGUCUGCACAGGGCAGGGGCUACGGUGCUCCAUUUCCAUUUGGCCUCUGUCGUGUCAGCCAGAGGCCAGCCGAACUCUACGGCCACUCCCCUGCGUCACGGACAAUUCGCCGCCACCACCGAGGCCUAGGGCUCUGCCUGGAUAUUCUCGCCUGAUCACAGGACUUCGGGGAGGGAUGAUCUCAUUGAUCUCUAAGGAAAAUACCGUUUGAGCUGGAGAAGCGCUCUCUUGUACAUUUUAUGGAUCUCUUCAAGGAAGAAAAAUCACCUUCAUUGUCAUGAACAUCAAGAAGUCUGGCAUUUGGCAUUCCCAGGCUGCGGUGUGGCAGCUUUGUGAUGUUCUCAGGGUCUCAGACCCUGCCAUAGUUCUGCCCUGCCAUCCUCAGCGCAUAGCUUUGAUCUUCAUGGCCACAAGAAAACUGCUGCUACUCCAAGCAUCUUACAUGAGUUCCAGGCAGGAAGAGAAAGAAAUGCAACCCAGAUACCCUUAGUUUUCCAUCUCAUAAGCCAGAAUGAUGUCACGUGGCCUCCCUGGGGGCACAGGAGGCCAAGAGAUGGUGGGGUUUGUUAGCUGGUCUCAUUGCCAUCCUGAAUGCAAAGUUUCAGUUAUAAAGAAACAGAGGCAAAUGGCCAUCAGCAGGCAACUGGAGGGCUCUGCCAUGGGCCGCCUGGCCAUUCUUUGUAUAGGUCGUAUUUGUCUUGGGCUGUAUUUUGGAUAUUUGGGCAUCUUUUGUGGUGCCCUUAUGUGCUGGUUUUGCUGUUGUCUGCCCUUCAGGAAUAGCGGCUGCACCAAGCUGUCCUUGGCUUCUCCAACCUGGAGUCAAAGGGUGGAGAUUUCCAUGGCUCCCCAUGGCUCCUGGGGGCCUCCUAAGGAAAUGUUUUAAUAAGGAAGUCCAAGGCUGAGACAGACACACUCCUUUUUAGAGACACAUGGGAACGUGCUUCUGCUCACAGCUGGUAGCCACAGAUGCAAACUGCAGCCCAUGGAACGGAGACAGUGGAGAGCUGAUGGAUAAAUGAAUGAUGAUCAUGGACAGCAGAUGCAUAAAAGGCAUAAAAGGAUAGUGUUAGGGCCAGAACCCAUCCCCCCAGUUCAAAUGUUGAACCUCCAACGCCUAAUACUUCAGAAUGAGACUAUAUUUGAAGAUAUGGUCUUCACAGAGGUAAUUAAGUUAAAAUAAGUUCAUCAGGGUGAGCCCUAAUCCAAAGGAUGGGUGCCCUAAUCCAAAGGAUGGAUGUCCUAAUCAGAGGAGGAGAUUAGGACCCAGAUACA